AACGAACGCUGGCGGCAGGCUUAACACAUGCAAGUCGAGCGCCCCGCAAGGGGAGCGGCAGACGGGUGAGUAACGCGUGGGAAUCUACCUUUUGCUACGGAAUAACUCAGGGAAACUUGUGCUAAUACCGUAUGUGCCCUUCGGGGGAAAGAUUUAUCGGCAAAGGAUGAGCCCGCGUUGGAUUAGCUAGUUGGUGAGGUAAAGGCUCACCAAGGCGACGAUCCAUAGCUGGUCUGAGAGGAUGAUCAGCCACACUGGGACUGAGACACGGCCCAGACUCCUACGGGAGGCAGCAGUGGGGAAUAUUGGACAAUGGGCGCAAGCCUGAUCCAGCCAUGCCGCGUGAGUGAUGAAGGUUCUUAGGAUUGUAAAGCUUCUUUCACCG
rnacentral:rRNA from 1 species